AGAACGAACGCUGGCGGCAUGCCUAAUACAUGCAAGUCGAACGAACUCUUCGGAGUUAGUGGCGCACGGGUGCGUAACGCGUGGGAAUCUGCCCCUUGGUUCGGAAUAACAGUUGGAAACGACUGCUAAUACCGGAUGAUGACGAAAGUCCAAAGAUUUAUCGCCAAGGGAUGAGCCCGCGUAGGAUUAGCUAGUUGGUGAGGUAAAGGCUCACCAAGGCAACGAUCCUUAGCUGGUCUGAGAGGAUGAUCAGCCACACUGGGACUGAGACACGGCCCAGACUCCUACGGGAGGCAGCAGUAGGGAAUAUUGGACAAUGGGCGAAAGCCUGAUCCAGCAAUGCCGCGUGAGUGAUGAAGGCCUUAGGUUGUAAAGCUCUUUUACCGAGAUGAUAAUGACAGUAUCGGAGAAUAAGCCCCGGACUAACUCCGUGCCAGCAGCCGC
rnacentral:rRNA from 1 species